AUUGCACAAUGGGCGCAAGCCUGAUGCAGCCAUGCCGCGUGUGUGAAGAAGGCCUUCGGGUUGUAAAGCACUUUCAGCGGGGAGGAAGGCGUUAAGGUUAAUAACCUUGGCGAUUGACGUUACCCGCAGAAGAAGCACCGGCUAACUCCGUGCCAGCAGCCGCGGUAAUACGGAGGGUGCAAGCGUUAAUCGGAAUUACUG
rnacentral:rRNA from 1 species